rnacentral:tRNA from 4 species
GCCCUCGUAGCUCAGUCGGAUAGAGCGACUCCCUCCUAAGGAGUAGGCCACAGGUUCGAUUCCUGUCGGGGGCA